rnacentral:misc_RNA from 1 species
GAAACGCGAAAGGUAAUGCGAAUUGCAGAAUCAGUGAGUCAUCGAAUCUUUGAACGCACAUUGCGCCUCUCGGUAUUCCGGGAGGCACGCCUGUUCGAGCGCCAUUACACACCCCAAGCUGUGCUUGAUGUUGGACGCUGUCUGUGAGAGGACAGGUCUGGAACGCGUGGGCGCCGCCGCCGGACCACGAGCGUAGCAAGACGCAAGUCAUCGCUCUGUGGACUCUGGUGGGCGGUCGUCGAGGUGGCGGGUAACAGCGACACCGAAAACACUUUACCAAAGUUUGGCCUCGGAUCAGGCGGGGAUACCCGCUGAACUUAA